GUUAGCGUAACAAAACCUGGCAUUGCAAAAGAUCUAAACUCUUUCCAUAGAGGUUCAAAUCCUCUCACUAACU
rnacentral:tRNA from 1 species